GAGUUCAGACUGUGCUCAUCCUAUCUGGUAAGAACAAAUAAAAAAUGCAAAUGUAUCUCAGUAAUUGGAGUCACCAAGUGGAACGAACUUGAUGAGGGUAUAAAAACAUGCAAGACCUUGAAAGUAUUUAAAAAGCAGUUGAAAAGAUUAGCUCUUGAAAAAUAUCAAUCCCAGGGAAAAUAAACUAAAAUAACCAAAAUGAUUUUGAAUGGACUCCUCUUAUCUUGUAAAUGAUAUCGAUAGAUAUUAGCCUGGUUUUCUCUUCU